rnacentral:rRNA from 1 species
AUUAGAUACCCUGGUAGUCCACGCCCUAAACGAUGUCUACUAGUUGUCGGGGAUUCAUUUCCUUGGUAACGCAGCUAACGCGUGAAGUAGACCGCCUGGGGAGUACGGCCGCAAGGUUAAAACUCAAAGGAAUUGACGGGGACCCGCACAAGCGGUGGAUGAUGUGGAUUAAUUCGAUGCAACGCGAAAAACCUUACCUACGCUUGACAUGCCAGGAACUUUCCAGAGAUGGAUUGGUGCCCGAAAGGGAACCUGGACACAGGUGCUGCAUGGCUGUCGUCAGCUCGUGUCGUGAGAUGUUGGGUUAAGUCCCGCAACGAGCGCAACCCUUAUCCUUAGUUGCUACGCAAGGGCACUCUAGGGAGACUGCCGGUGACAAACCGGAGGAAGGUGGGGAUGACGUCAAGUCCUCAUGGCCCUUAUGUGUAGGGCUUCACACGUCAUACAAUGGUCGGUACAGAGGGUCGCCAACCCGCGAGGGGGAGCCAAUCCCAGAAAACCGAUCGUAGUCCGGAUUGCAGUCUGCAACUCGACUGCAUGAAGUCGGAAUCGCUAGUAAUCGCGGAUCAGCAUGUCGCGGUGAAUACGUUCCCGGGUCUUGUACACACCGCCCGUCACACCAUGGGAGUGGGUUCUACCAGAAGUAGGUAGCCUAACCGCAAGGAGGGCGCUUACCACGGUAGGGCUCAUGACUGGGGUGAAGUCGUAACAAGGUAGCCGUAUCGGAAGGUGCGGCUGGAUCACCUCCU